UGCGGUGGUUCCUUUUUCUAAGCGAGAGGACGGUUGGCAGGAUUCUUUUGUCUCCUAAGAAGAACCAAGAGGAAGCUGAGCCAAGAGCCUCAAAGGGGGACCCAAGAAGGCAAAGGGAGAAAGAGGUUCCCAAAGACCAACAAGGCAAAUCCUUAGGGCUUCCACAAGGAUUAGGAAAUCAUCUCUUCACCCAUGUGACUGCUUACAGUCUUGAAACGCCAAGGAAGGUUUUGGUGGAGAUGGGAGGAGUAAAGGAUCUCCAGUGGACAGCGCAUCUGACUUGACUAAAGGCAUCAACCCAGACUGUAGCCCAUCCUCAAUCUCAGGAACGGGGAAAUCCAAUGGGAAAACCAUGCCUGUAAAGACGCAGAAGGAGGAGAUCAGUGCCAAAGAAGGAGGCAGAAAUUUCUUUGGGCUAACUUGGACCUCAGUCUCCACAAAACGGCCCUGUUCCACUCAACAUGAAAAAGAAUCCAGCACGAUCCUUUACUGUCCAACCUUGCUUUCUACCCUGCUUGUUAAUCAUGCCUAGGGGGGGCACUAAGUUUAACUGCAGAUAGUCAAUUUUGUUAAUGGAAUUCCAAGCUCAUCCGUUUUCCGUUGGGAGGAUGAGUGCAUCUUGCUGUUUCUCUAAAGCAAGUAUCUAGUGCUUUCAUCUUUUAGUGCCCUAACAUGCGAUCUGUCAUCCAAGUAAAAAAAAUAAUAAAUA